GGGCGUGUGGUCUAGUGGUAUGAUUCUCGCUUUGGGCGAAGUUCGAGUCUUAACUCGGACUCCAUUUAUCACAAGCAUGCGAGAGGCCCUGGGUUCAAUUCCCAGCUCGCCCC
rfam:Lachancea lanzarotensis strain CBS 12615 genome assembly, scaffold: LALA0S08